UAGACUUUGCCAUAUUGGUAACAUCGUUUUUCAUCGAUCACCGAAGUUAAGCAAUGUAAAGCCUGGUCAGUACUUGGGAGGGUGACCACUUGGGACUUCUGUAGGUGGUAUUAUU